GACGAACGCUGGCGGCGUGCUCAACACAUGCAAGUCGAACGGAAAGGCCCUGCUUUUGUGGGGUGCUCGAGUGGCGAACGGGUGAGUAACACGUGAGUAACCUGCCCUUGACUUUGGGAUAACUUCAGGAAACUGGGGCUAAUACCGGAUAGGAGCUCCUGCUGCAUGGUGGGGGUUGGAAAGUUUCGGCGGUUGGGGAUGGACUCGCGGCUUAUCAGCUUGUUGGUGGGGUAGUGGCUUACCAAGGCUUUGACGGGUAGCCGGCCUGAGAGGGUGACCGGCCACAUUGGGACUGAGAUACGACCCAGACUCCUACGGGAGGCAGCAGUGGGGAAUAUUGCACAAUGGGCGGAAGCCUGAUGCAGCAACGCCGCGUGCGGGAUGACGGCCUUCGGGUUGUAAACCGCUUUCGCCUGUGACGAAGCGUGAGUGACGGUAAUGGGUAAAGAAGCACCGGCUGACUACGUG
rnacentral:rRNA from 1 species